AAGGGGAGCAAUCCCUGAGUAAAGUGGCGACCGGGUGAGUAACACGUGACUAACCUACCUUCGAGUGGGGGAUAACCUAGGGAAACCUGGGCUAAUACCGCAUAACGUCUUCGGACCAAAGGAGCAAUUCGCUUGAAGAGGGGGUCGCGGCCGAUUAGUUAGUUGGUGGGGUAACGGCCCACCAAGGCAAUGAUCGGUAGCCGGCCUGAGAGGGCGCACGGCCACACUGGAACUGAAACACGGUCCAGACUCCUACGGGAGGCAGCAGUGGGGAAUUUUGCGCAAUGGGGGAAACCCUGACGCAGCAACGCCGCGUGGAGGAUGAAGCCCCUUGGG
rnacentral:rRNA from 1 species